rnacentral:tRNA from 1 species
GGAGGGUAUAGCUCAGUGGUAGAGUGCAUGCCUAGCAUGCAUGAGGUACUGGGUUCAAUCCCCAGUACCUCCA